rnacentral:lncRNA from 1 species
UGACUCAGUGUGCUCUUAAGCUUAUUCAGAACACAGAGAAGGCUGACAGACUUCAUUUUAUUGUUCAUCUAGGUCAGUAAUUCCCAGAGGAGAAAGUGUCUACUUGAGACUUGGAGUUUUAGAAUGCCUGUCUUAAAAAGCCUCCAGAAAGGAGCUGUGAAACACAUAUUGAUUUUGGCAUUGACUUCAGUGUAUCUCAAACAGGCUGAUUCUACAGAAUUUGUUUCAAAGCAUUUCUUCUAUGACUUGAUGCCUUUCUGCCAAGCAAAAUUGAUCAUUUCUGACCAGAAGGCGCUGAGCUGAAGGAAAGUGAGGAGGCUCUUGGCCGCGGCAGGCACACUUUGGCUAUGCGUGGGGGGCUUUUAAUUUUUCGCUUAAGCUCUCCUGGUCACCGUGCUGUGUGUCCCGUUUUGGGAGGCUGUUUGGAGGGCACAUUUGGUGCAGCCUCCUAGUCCUGGAGCUAGUAGCUGGGUCUUUAGAUGUCUGUUUCCUUGGUAUUCUGAUGAGUAGAUACCUGGGAUCUUCCCUGACGGUUGGCUCUUGUUUUCUCUUGUCUCGUGACAUCUGCUGUGGUUGAGUUGGUUGUGCUGAUGUGUUUUCACCAGCAAUACCUGGUCUGCUUUGUUGUUCUAUCAGAAGUAUGUUAGUCCCAGUCUGACAACUUCCCUGAGUGUCUAGGACAGUCGUUCUCAACCUGUGGGUCACGACCUCUGUAGGGGAAGGGAAUGUCACACAUCAGAU